UAUCAUGUUGCCAAUGAUGGAUAUUUGUUGACUUGAACACCUAUGAUUUUGUCAACUUUUCGUCACUACCACUGAGGCAGCUACUUA